rnacentral:rRNA from 2 species
GCGUGCUAUACUGCAGUCGAACGAACUCUGGUAAUGAUUGGUGCUUGCAUCAUGAAUUACAUUUGAGUGAGUGGCGAACUGGUGAGUAACACGUGGGAAACCUGCCCAGAAGCGGGGGAUAACACCUGGAAACAGAUGCUAAUACCGCAUAACAACUUGGACCGCAUGGUCCGAGUUUGAAAGAUGGCUUCGGCUAUCACUUUUGGAUGGUCCCGCGGCGUAUUAGCUAGAUGGUGAGGUAACGGCUCACCAUGGCAAUGAUACGUAGCCGACCUGAGAGGGUAAUCGGCCACAUUGGGACUGAGACACGGCCCAAACUCCUACGGGAGGCAGCAGUAGGGAAUCUUCCACAAUGGACGAAAGUCUGAUGGAGCAACGCCGCGUGAGUGAAGAAGGGUUUCGGCUCGUAAAACUCUGUUGUUAAAGAAGAACAUAUCUGAGAGUAACUGUUCAGGUAUUGACGGUAUUUAACCAGAAAGCCACGGCUAACUACGUGCCAGCAGCCGCGGUAAUACGUAGGUGGCAAGCGUUGUCCGGAUUUAUUGGGCGUAAAGCGAGCGCAGGCGGUUUUUUAAGUCUGAUGUGAAAGCCUUCGGCUCAACCGAAGAAGUGCAUCGGAAACUGGGAAACUUGAGUGCAGAAGAGGACAGUGGAACUCCAUGUGUAGCGGUGAAAUGCGUAGAUAUAUGGAAGAACACCAGUGGCGAAGGCGGCUGUCUGGUCUGUAACUGACGCUGAGGCU